UUUGCUUCAUUUGACAAGGUUAAGGAAGUAGACGAGUUCUUCAAAGCGCAUCCCAACCCGAAGAUAACUAGAACAGUGAAGCAGAGCAUUGAGCGGGUGCAAAUCAACGCCAAAUGGGUUCAGAGUGUUCAGAGCGAGAGAAACCUUGCCGAUGUCGCAACGGAGUUGGCAUACCGGAAAUACUAGGAUUCCAUGUUUGGCUGCUUCUGUUUUUUUAACGAAGAUGAUGUCUGGGACUGGAUUUCCAAACUUAUGUAACUUGAACUUGCCAAAACAAAGAAUAAAGAGACAUAAAUAAUUGCACUAGUAUUCUCUCAUGAAAAAUGCAACCAUUACUCGAAUCUCCUGUGAUCUUUUAUAAGAUGGGGACUGAUAACACCACGGAACGUUGUUAUGGUCACAAAAACAAGUUACUCCGCAUGAUUGCUGUAUGUUUUCUGAACCGAAUAUAAUGUACACAAUUUAUGUAGAAUCUAAAAUUUAGAAAACGUAAGAUUGGGUCAUGCAUUAUGGUGAAUAUUCAUGCUAUCAGGGUUGCAAAAAUAUCGAGAUUGAAGAAGUUGAGACAGCGUUGCCCUCUCUGGUUGAACAAGAGUGAAGUGCUUAGACUUUUUUCCUCUUUCAGAGUUCUUCCGCCAAUCAGGGUUGCUUUUGGUUUCAGAGUUGUGUCACACUCCUGAUAUUACAAUGGCUUGGGUCUGCUGAUCUCAAGUGAAGGUCUCCUCGUGGUUUUGGUAACAUGCAAGGGACGCGUUGAAUGACCCCGUUGUAAGAAAAUAUAGUGAAAUGCAGUUAUAGAGAUUUUCGUAUUUCUGUCUCGUGAUAUUUCUCUUGUUUCAAAUGAAUAGGAAAUAGUUCAAAUAUAGGAAUUCGGUCGUACUGAGAGACAAUAUAUUGUGGGAAUAGAGCUUAAAUGAUUUCGAUAUUUGUUGAAAUUAUUUGCUGGCUUUUAUCGCGGCAAGUUCUAAUGGCAGACACACCAGAACCCAGCUGAAAAUUUCUUUACAGUGAAGUCUUUGAGUCGCCCUGUAUAUAACCGUCCGCUUGCUUUCCUGUCCGCAUGGGGAUGGCAAGCCGGCUCAGAAAGAGAUCUAAACCCUAAAGAUAUGACAGUGACAGUAGAUUUCAAAGAUACUUGCAUUGCUGGUACAUUACCACCGUUCUGCAACUCUUUCGCUAUUUCUGACAUUAUCAAGAACGAAAAUUUUAUUAAACGAAGAAAUUCAUCAACAUAAAAUUACGUAAAAACAGCUUUUAGACGAAGCUGGAAGAUGUAAAUUCAUAGCACUCUCAAACUCUAACUGCAGCUAAAAGGCUACCAGCAGAAUCACAAACCAAACUAGCACUCCCACUAUAGCUUCUGCUACCAGCAAAACCCAACCCCUAAUCCACCGUCUUCUUCUAAUUUUUCUACUGAGAAGAAGUAAUUUUGACCAUGGACUGAGCAUGAAUUGUUGACAAAUUAGACUGACAAAAGUUUUAGCCAAAUCUGCUGCUUCUCCGGCUGCUCCUCAUCAUUUUCCCGCAACUUCUCUUCAUUCUCCCGCAGCUGCUUCUCUCGCCUCAGGCAGCCGAAUUCAACAAAUCUGCAGCCAUUUUCACCAAAGAAACCAGCCCAUAAUCCUUCAUUCCUUCAAGGCCCUGAAAAUCGGUACCAAAAUCCCAUUUUCGGCAACAAGGUUAACAAGAAAAAUGGCAUGUCCAACGUCAAAACUCAAGAGAACAUUUUGGUUUCAUAGUAUAUACCAUCUUGGCGACACAAGAUGCGAUGGCAAUGGCAGCUUUGGCUCUGACUCUAGGGUUGCCAUGGGAAGCGUAAGCUCGGAGCUUCUGAAGCAGAGGAAGAGGGGUCAAGGACUGCACCAUAGAGCUUAGUGCCCUGUCUGCUUCUUCACGCACAAAACGUUUGUCUUGAGAUGCCUUGAGCAGCAAUUGCAGCAGCUGUGAACCCAUUGAACAAUCCAAGCCGUUCAUUAGAACAUAAAAAAAUGAAAAUGAAAUUGUUGUCAAACGAUCCCUAAAUUUAAGAAAACAAGAAAAGUUUGGGUACACACCAAUUGGUCAAAUGCAUUAGAGGCUGCGGAGUCAAGUAAACCAUCACCAAAGGCGAUGAAGACGUCGGAAGAAGCCAUAAUCGAGGUCUUGAUUAAGGCACUUCUCGGAUUCUUCAUUGCCUUCACCAGCACCACUACAACAUUCUCUCUGUACAAACAAAAAUGACGUCGUUUUAGUGGACUUGUUACAGCAGAGAAUCGAAUGUUGGAACUAAGAAGAAAAGCACUCGCAGAGUAGGAGCCAGAAGAGCAGAGUGGUGGAUUGCAAAAUGCCUAACCUUGUUCAGAGACUCACACACCUUCACCCAAUCCUUUGAUUCCAAUCCCUCACUCAAGCUCUGAAAUUUCAAAUAAAUUACUUUAAUACACAGGUGAAGGGAGUCGAAUUCGCGUGCCAGGGACAUCCAAUGAGAUAGAGAAUUACCUGGAUCUUGAGAUCUGCGUCCUGCAUCCACAAGUAUCUAGUCAAAUGCAAGUACCUGUGGAACUUGAAAAAUUAUGAGAAGGGAUACGUAUGAGUUGCAAAUAGAACACUUGCUGCACAAGAUCCUUACAUGAAUGUUUGUUUUGAGAAUUCAGAAUCACCGAAAUCGAAAAUCUGCCAGAAGCACAUCAACAAGAAAAAUGGAAAAGAAAAAAAGCCAAUAUCUGCCAGAAAAAAAUGCAUAUUUCACCCAGCUAUUGUGCAUAUCAUGCAUGCACGUCAUUCACCCAGCUUUUGUUUACCUUACUAUGUACAAGUACAACACAGUAGAAUCCAAUAUUUUAAAAGUUACAACCCGAACAUUCAAUUCAUCAAAACAUUUUAUCAAAUGUGAAUCAGAGGAAUAACAUGUUGGCAUGCUCCCUAAAGUCAUGACUCUUUUUGCAGAUACAUGUACAGAAUUUCAGUAACUCCAUUUGAAGUCAUGAAGCUAUUACCUCCACAGAGUGCCUUCAAUCCUGUUAAGAAAUUGAUGGGACGAAGACCCUUCAGGAAAAAAAAUCUCUUGUUGCCCAAUAUUUGCUCCAUCAGCGUGAAUGGAUGAGAAGGCACCUUGUGUCAGUUGUGUGUCACCACUCAUUGAGUACGACACAUCUAAAUCCCUCCAGUAAAUUGCAUGACACACGAUUUUACCAUGAUCUUGAUGCAUGCUGAGACUUUGCAGUUUCUCGAAGAACAGCACCAACAAUUCCUGCCUGCUCAAGGCAUUCAGCCUUGUGCAAGGCAUCCAACAGAACAACACAUGUCUUGGAAUGAAUAUUACAACCUUUCCGCCGAGUUUCCUCAAAAAGUGUAUACGCGUCCAUUGCCCUUUCUGCAUUGCUCAACCCUUCUAUCAUAGCAUUAUAACAAGCAGAAUCGGGAAUGCCACCACUGGCCUUAAACUUCUCAAAAAGCCCACUAGCAUCCCUUAUGUUCCCAGCCCUUGUAAGUCCAGAGAUCAUGGUAGUGUAGGUGAUUGUAUUAGGGUUUAACCCUUGUUUCUUCAUCUCUUGCCAGUAUACAAAAGCCUUAUUGAAUUUUCUAACCCUACAAAGACCAUUUAUGAGAAUGCUAUACGUUACAUGGUUGGGUGUACAUUUCAUAUCUUUCAUCGAUUGAAAGCAGACAAUUGCUUCAUCAAUUUCACCAGCUUUCACAAGUCCAUCAAGCAAGCUAUUAUAUGUGUAAACGUUAGGUGACAAACCUUUCUGCAUCAACUCUUCCAUGAUUAGAUAUGCUUCAUCUAUUCUACCUACCUUCCCAAACCCAUCAACAAGGCUACUAUAAAUGAUUACAUUCAGUUCUACUCCUUUUGACUUAGCUUCUUCAAAAAGCAUGUAUGCUUCAUCAAGCCUGUCAAUCUUGGCAAGACCAUCAAUGACAGAACCAUAAGUAACGACGGUGGGUUGGUGACCCUUAGUUUUCAUUUCCUCCAGAAGCUGGUAUGCUUUAUUCACCUUUCCACUUUUGCAGAAUCCAUCAAUGAUGGCGUUGUAAGCACGGGUGUCCAAUACACAGCCUUGAUCUUUCAUCGCAUAGUAUAAUUCAUAUGUUUGAUGUGCAAAGCCUGCUUUUACAAGGCCAUGAAUUAAGAUUGAAUAACUCCGCACAUCCGGAAUGAAUCCUUGAGUCUUAAUCUCCUCAAACAAAGAUCUACCUUUUUCAAUUUCACCGGCCUUUAAAACACAAUCCAUAUAGGUAUUAAGAAGCAUGAGAUCAGGAGAACAGCCCCUACGCUGCAUUUCUUUAUAUAUUUUGUGACCAUCCUCCUUCCUGCCACAUUUGAAGAAGUUCCUGAUGAGGGAUGUGUAUACAAUGGCAUUUGGAGUCUGAUCAGCGUCCAGCAUCUUUUCAUAAAGCCUAUAGGCAUCAUCUACUCUUCCUUGUUUUCCCAAGCCAUCUAUAAGAGAACAAAAUGUAACUGCAUCUGGUGUGCAGACUUUGUGAUCCAUUCCUUCAAAUAUAGAACAAGCAUCAUCAAGUUUUUGAGCUUUACAGAGUCGAUCAAUCAUUAUGUUUACAGUCAUAACAUUAGGAUAUAAGCCAGCUUCUUUCAUGGCAUCCCGAACCUGCAGAGCAUCCUUGAGGUUACCAGCCUUACAAAGCAUGUCUAUUAGAAUGUUAUAAGUUGGAAGAUUGGGAGCUGCAUCUUUCUUCAUCUCAUCAAAAACCCUUAAUGCUUCUACUGCUCGUCUCUUCUUCCCUAGGCAGGUGAGAACACAGUUAUAUGCAAUCACACUCGGAAUGCACCCCCUUCUUCUUUGCCUCUCAAACAAGCUGUAUGCUUCCUCAAACCUUCCAGCAGAGCCAUAGCCCAUGAUCAUGGUGUUAUACGCAUACACACAAGGUACUUUCCUAUGUCUGUCCAUCUCCUCAAAUAGCUCCACUGCUUCGUCUAGUCUCGCAGCUUGGCAGAGAACUCCUAUCAUGCUAGUAUAUGUCACAUCAUCAGGCACCAAGCCAUGCAUUCUCAUUUCAUGAAAGAAUUUCCAGGCCAUAUCCACCUUACCGACCUUGCCAAAGCAAUCUAUACAGACAUUAUAAAGGACAACAUCUGCACUAAAAGAGUUGCUCUUCAUCUCAUCCAACAAGGAGAGGGCAGCAUCAACUCGUCCUUCCUUGGCAAAUACACGAAUAAUGGUUGUAAAUAAAUGCACAGUAACUUCAUAACCUAGCUCCUGCAUUUGAUGAAAGAGAGUCAACAUGAGAUCAGAUUCAGGAACUGUAGACAAAGCCCCAAUAAGAGUUGUAUAGGCUGAAAAUGCUGGGCGGAAUUUGAAUUUCCUCAUUGUUUGCAGUAGAUUGAAACCAUCUUUCAGCUUCUGUGACCUCAUACAGCUCACAACUAACUCAAUACAUGUGGUAUUAAAUGGGCCAAUUCCUGCUACACUCAUUUCUUCCAGGACCUGUUCCAAAUAAUUAAGAUUUCUACUCCUGGCCAUGACCAUGAGAAGUGAAUUGUAUGCUUCGGGACAGUGUGCUUGGUCAGUUUGUUUCUCACACCACCGAAAAUAAUUAAGUGCUAAACUGACAUCUUUCAACCUCCUUAAAACUCCAAUAACUGAUUCUGAUUGAGGUGUUUUGUCAAGCGCCGAUAGAGCAUUCUCAAGAGUGGGUCCCCAAGGACCACACUCCAAGACUCGGCACACAUCAUCAACUACUUGUCUCACAUCAAUCAAAGAUACAACUUUCUCUUCAGACAGAGGCUCAUUUGACAAGGAUGAAAACCUUUUGGAAAAUGUGUAAAUGUUCAAAUGAAAGCCACGUCGUAUCCCUGCAACUGCAACAAGGAAAAAGAUCAAGCAAACAGUAAUAACUGACGAACAUCAUUUAAGCCAAAGAGACUUGUGAAUAUAUUAUCUAUCUGAUCAAUGUAUAUACCAAAGUCCAAAAAACUUCACUCAAUCGAGAAUAAACAAUCUAUGCGAGUCAAGAUUACCUUGUUGUCUUAGGAGCAUCUUGACAAAUGCAUGCCCAAUCUAACACCGUGUAUGCUCUUUGCCUUCCAAAUAUCUAAUUCAAUAAGUUUAAGACAUAACCCAUGUCAGAAAACCGCUACUUAAACAUCACACAGCGUAAGCUAAGUUGUGUAAACAUUGGGACAUAAAUAGUAAACACCAAAAGCGCAAUCCAGUAAGCAAAUAAAAACAACAUCUGCCAAUAGUAAACACCAAAAGCGCAAUCCAGUAAGCAAAGAACGUCCCACGCUUCCUAAAAUUUUAACGUGCAAACCCAUAUGAAUGCUUAGGAACUAGGAACCAAUGAUCUAUAUUUGAGAUUUUGCAUGCAUUUUUCAAAUUUGAUGAGAAAGCAUGAGAAAAUUGGAAUUAAUUCAUUGGUGAGGGCCGAGCUUUGAUUGCCGAAACGCGAAAUUCCGAACAUUUCAGAGUACAAAAUAGCACGCAAUCAACCGAAGAACAAAUUCUGACAGAUGUAGAGUUCAGAAAAAUUCAUAGAAAAUAGGGCAGAUGUAGACUUGAUAACCCAGUUGCUAGUUGACGGAAUUUUCAAUUUUUAACAGAUGUAGAGUUCAGAAAAAUUCAUAGAAAAUAGGGCAGGAACACAGAGCAUAACUUUCAAUGUUUUCAACUGUAGGGCAGGAACAUACAAAUAUCAACAAGUAAAAACAAUAAAUUUUCUUCAAGCAUAAGUUCGCAUUGUAUGAUAUAAAUCUCCAGUACAAGCGGUCAAAAAAGAAGACACACAGCAUAAUAGACACAUUUGACAAAAGUGUAAUCCUCACUAUAAUGGUGAUCUGUUAGACAACUACCAAACCAAGUUUGCAGGAGAAUUCUUGAAGAAGACGAUGAAACGGCGUCGUAGAGGGGUGUGCUGAAUCGCAAGAGACGAGGGAACGGCGCAUGACAAAUCAGAAGCACAGUUCACAGAUCAGAAGCAGCGCAGAGCUUUAUAAGAAAUUAUCCUUUACCUAAACCCUAAGAUAAAUCAGUAGCAGACCUUCUAAAAAAAAAUGAAUAGAGAAGUAAUCAAACUUCUCUCUCAAUUUUUCUUGUUUCCUCCACAAACCCUAAUUUUUUCCCCCAAUUAAUUUUUUCCACAAACCAUAUCACCUUCCCCAAUUAAUUUUUUCCCCACCCUCCAUCCCCAAUUUUUUUUCCCGACACCCAUACCCUCAUCCCUUUGCUCUUCCCACCCCUCUUUCCCUCUCAAUCUCCCAUCCCCAAAUUUAAAAAUCCAAACAAUAAAUAGCAAAAUUUUACAAGAGAAGCUUACCAAAGGAAGGAUGCCGAGCCAGAGAAACCUGGAGAACGAGAGAGAUCGCUGGUUUUCUGGUUCACGUAUUGCGAGAGUGUGCUGAAGGCGAGAGGAAAGGAGGGCAAUUUUGGGUUAUUGAAAAAUUCAUUAAACGCACCACUGUUCACUGUUCACCCGUGUUUUCGAAAAUAAGCUGGUUUUUGGAAGCUGCUAUUUGCAGCUUCAGGUUUUGGGCAUAUUUUUCACCCCAAACUUUGAAAUAAAGUUGAUUUUGAAAGUUUAUCAAACAUCAAAAAUCAUUUCAAUUUUUUUUCAUACCAGCUUUUUUUUUAAUCACCUCAAUCCUAAACUGCACCUAAAUCCUAUUUUUUUUACCACAUUGGCUAUCUUCCAACUACCUUAUCACCACGAAGACUAUUAAUCCAAUUAAGUCUCCUUUUUUGUAUAUACUCCAUAAUUUGUUAACCACAACCCACACGUGCUUUAUACGCCCCUAUCUAUCUUUUUUAAUUAAAAUUUAUCUUAACACAUCACACUUAUUUUCUAAUACUACCCUCACACUUCAUACUCUUUCUCAAUUAUGGAUUUUAAAGUUUGGUUUUCUAUAUAUUUUGGGAUUCUUGUCAAUUAGGGAUCACUAGAAAGUGAUGCCCACGCGUUGCUAUGGGAUUAUAAAUAGUAUGGGUAAUUAUGUUUGAAAAACUACCAAAGUUAAAUUUAGUAUCAUCAGCAGAUCUUUAACUUUCCAGCAGUAUAUAAAUGUGAGCUAAUAUAUGUAUAUCUAAGUUUCAUUACAAUAAAAGCUAGUACAAGACCCAAAAGGAACCUGAUAAACAACAACAGAUAAAGUAAAAUGCCCAAGCAAAGUGAGAGCAGCAACUCAAGAUACAACGAGAGGCCCUUACGAACUUAGGGCGGUAUGAUGCGCUAACAAACAACAAAAAACCCUAGUCUCAAGCAACAUAAACUAGACCACCGCAACCGUCAUAUCUUCGGAGAAAGCCAAACUUCGAACCAAGAGAAUAGACAACAUAUCCAAUUCCCCUUCACAAACCCCUAAAAGUGUAACAAACAAAGUAUCAUAUAAAUAGAGAGUGAGGCUAAAGGGUAUGUAAAAUACCCAACAAUUGACCUUGAUAGGGAUCCAGCAUGCUGGUUGGAGGAUAGAAAGUGAAGGAAGGUAGUGGAUCUAGAAUCCAAUUUCAGAUCGGAGCCUGCCGAUCCGAGUACAUGGUGGGAAGGGGAUGAAGUAUCAAUAAGGAGAGGAAGGAAAUAAAAUUAAAAGAUAGAAAGCUGUAAAAAUAGGCGAAAAAUGUCGGAUAAAGGGCAUGAGCCCAAAUCUAAGACAAGCUCAGGGGAUAGUUGAGACCUGGCUCCAUGGAAACUGAGAUAAACUAAGGGAAAAAUUGGGAAUAAAAACGAAGGAAAGAGAUUGGAAAUGGGAGAGAAAUAUGAGGUGGAUGCAGGGAAGGGGAUGGGGCAGAAGAGAUGAGAUAGGAAGAAAAAGAUGGAAAAGGCAGAGGGGAGAUGAGGGAAUGAGGGAAGAAAGAGUAGUGGGUUGCGGCCUACCUCGAGCAAAAGUAAGGGGCGGCGGUUGAGCUUGAAGCUGGGGAUGGAGCUUGUGGAUCUGGGUUUUUAGAGAGAAACAAAGAGAGAGAGCCGCUGAAGAACCCAUGGUGUUGUAUUUGAUUUUCAAAGGGUUUAUUCAAUAAUAUGUGGAGUGCUAAUAAAAUAUAAGUAUUUUGGUGAUAGCUUGGAUGAUCGUGAGACGGCCACGAAACAACCCACCAUCUACAAUGGUGGGUUGCUUUGGUUUAAGCUUGGACAAUACGUACCAUUAAGGCCUUUCCCUUUUUUUUAUUAGGCAUUUGGUUUUAGCUUCCUAAAAAAAAAAGAACCGGAUAGCAAAGCAAAGCUGGACAAAUCUUUAAACGACACCAUUUUGUAUUAUAAGAAAUAUGACAUAUCAUCAUAUUCCUCAAAGAAUUGUCGUCAUUGACUCUGCAUCUAAAGCGAAUUUAAAAUUUUGAUCAAUAUAUAAACCUAACAGGUAGUGUCUAACAUACCUACUAAUUAUUAUUCACCAAAUUUGGGCUGGACUACAACACAACCAAUCCUAUCAUAACUCCUUGUAACUAAUAUUUCAAGUGCUUUUGAAAACUAUUUUUUUUCCCUUAAAAACGCUUUCAAUUAUGUUAACACGUCUAAACGAGUCAUGGCAUAAAGCGUUGUGAAAGAAAAAAAAUAUGUUAGCACGAGUUUAGUUCAACAUGAUUGAUUUUCACCUUAGGUCAUCAUUGUUGAAAAAAUUGUUGGAAAGGCCCACGAGUUUAAUCAUUUUCACCUUAGGUCAUCAUUUUCACCAUACGUUAGCACGAGUUUAAUCAAAAUUCAGACGUAGAUGGUAUGUUACUAUAUUGACAGUCACAUUAAAAUAGGAGUGUGUGGGCGUGGAAUUGCCAAAAAUAUCUUCCACGUGGUGUUUGUGCAAUAUACUGAAAGAAAAAUAUACGAAGAUGGUUCGGGGCGAGCUAAACGGGUCAAUUCAAGCGGAUCCGAGCCACGCCCAUCCAUGUCGCGUUUCUCGUGUACACCAAGUAACAACGGCAGUGCAUCAACAAACUCUGUCUCUCUGAUGCCAAACACCGUUCUCUCACUCCCAUCGACACUCUCAUAGACUUCGCAAUCGGAAAAAUCAGUGGUGCUGCGGCUCACAUGGACCCGCAAUACCCGACCAAGCCGGCGCGGUCGCACGGGCCGCAGAUGAAAAUGACGAUUCAGCCCUCGCAGCACUCCGACAACGACCGGUCCAGCGGCGAGCUGCGCGCGCUGGAUUGCAACCUCACAGCCCUCUGCGACCACAUACAGACGGAGGGCUUCAAUUCCGGUGCCUUCUCCGAUAUGGUCGUCCACGCCAUGGGCUCCACCUACCAUCUCCACCGCCUCAUUCUCUCCCGCAGCCCCUACUUCAGGUCCGUUGUCCCAAAUUCCCCAAACCCCUUUUGUCAAUUUACCAAAAUGCAACUUGAAUUCGCCCCCUCGCGCGGCUUCAUCGGCGUUGUUGGAUGAUGUUGAAUUGAUAAUUAUGGGGUUUUAUUGUUAAUUUGAAUAGUUAUGUGGAUGUAUGUAUAUACGGAGAGUACCUAGUUAGCAUUUGCACUAUUAAGCUUGAGCUUGGCAAUGGGGAGUUGAUGAAAUUACUUUUGUUUUCGAUAAUGAACGCGUAGUUAUGAAGCAAUUAGGUGCUUACUAAUCACCUUGUGCAAUCUUCAUAUGCUGGACUGUAAUGUGUCUGGCAGGAACAUGCUUCAUGGACCUUGGAAAGAAGCCAGUGCCCCCGUUUUAACCUUACAUAUUGACGAUAAGAAUGUUAACGGAGAAGCAAUUGCAAUGGCUUUGGCGUAUCUAUACGGUCACCACCCCAAGCUUAAUGAUAACAAUGCAUUUCGUGUUUUGGCUGCCGCUUCUUUUCUUGACCUUCAGGUAUCAUUUUCUCGUUUUGAUGUCUUCUUUUACUUUGCGUGACUAUUUUCUUUUCCACUCUCGAAGUCCCAUCCCUUUAUGUGCAUUUAGGUUACGGCUUGAUGUUCUUUUGAUGCAGGAUUUAUGUGCAAUAUGCACAGACUUCAUUAUAUCUGAAUUAUGGACUUCAAACUUCUUAGCCAAUCAGGUUCGAAAUGCUUGUGCCGCUUCUUUGUUUAUGUAUGACCCACAUGCUACCAUUUUCUUUUGUAAUUGAGAAUGUCUACUUGUGCUUUUAGGUGUUCGCGGAGAGCCAAGAUUAUGGCCUACAUGGAGAACGAGUAAGAAAUGCUUGCUGGGGCUACCUUUGUCAAAGUGGUUCCAUGGAGUUGAAAGAGGUAAAAGAUGGUGUGCUUAUUUUGUAGUAAUCACUUGUGGGUUUUGCGCACAUUUUCUUCUUCCUUCUGUUUUCCUUUGAGAUCAUAUAACAUGACAACAUAAGAAAAGAUGAGAGAGAAGGACAAAACAGUGGAUGCCGAAGGAACAUAUUUGUAUUUCUUUGUAAUAUUAGCAUACUUAACCUUGCCCAGUCUAGAAAAAUAUGGCUUAAGCUCUGUUAUUUUAUUUAAUUAUGAUAGCAUAGCUCAAUUUUUUCUUCUCUCUUGGAUCUAUCCAUUGUUAAUGACUCAGUAUAUUUGAUUUUAUAAGGAUUAAGUAUAUUUUAAGGUUUUUCAGUUUUGUUAAUGCAAACCUACUGCUACAUAUUCUAUUUCCUGACAUGUUCAUGGACAGGUGCUUCCAAAACUUUCAGCUCAAACCCUGCUUGCAUUACUGACCUCUGAUGAGCUCUGGGUACCCAGUGAAGAGAAACGGUAAGGAGCAUUGACGGCCUAACUCGGGUUUAUUAAUCACAGCUUGAGUUCCUUUUGAUGUGUUCUUUAUUUUUCCUUUGUGGAAAGGUUUGAGCUGGCAUUCUAUGCAUUCCUUGCAAAAGGUGCUCAAAGCAAACAGGAAGACUAUGAUCAUGGAAGUUCCAGUUCUGAGGCAGGAACGGAUACUCCAUCUGAUUCUUCUAACGCAAAGGGAAAGAAUCUGAUUGAUAGAUUCGCUAACAAAAGGUUGGAGUCUGAAGUCGGGUGCUUAACUCUAAAAGAUGAUGUAGAGGGCCAUAAUACUGCUCGUAGUCUUUUGAUAGAGCUUGCAGACUGUGUGGUUGAUUUCCAAACAGGAGUUUCAAAUUCCAAACAGCAAGUCCAACAAGUUGCGGACCCUCAAUCCAAUUUGGAGCCAGGAUACAACUGCAGCAUGGGUGGUCCUUCAUCAUUAAAAAAUUCACUAUCAGAAAUAGAUGUGAUGAGAACCUCAUGUUAUGCUGAAAUGCCAGUUGGUGUUGGAGCAAGUAGACUGGGGGCGAAUGGAGUGGCUAUGGAAGGGCCAUCUGAUGAAGGAUCAUGCUUUCACUUAAAUAACAACAGUUGGUUUGCCAGGGACCAGUCAAGGCAAUGCUCUUCAAUGAACUCUUCCACUCGUGAGCUCAUGCCAAAUGAUUGGGGAAGAUGUGGCAUGCCUCCUCUUUCAUGGGGUGGCAGGGUUGUAGGGAGAAGACAGGUUAAAGGUUAUGCUAAAGGGAACUUUGGGGUUGGUGGGGAGGAAUAUGAUGCAUUUGUUAAUAUAUUUGAAGGCGGAUCUCUUUUAUACUGCAACAUGUCUUUUGAGGCACUUUUGAAUGUACGAAAGCAACUUGACGAACUGGGGUUCCCCUGCAAAGCUGUAAACGAUGGUCUUUGGCUGCAGGUUUCUUUCUAUAUCUGUUUUCUUUUUAAUUCCAUCUUUCUUUUGCUAUACAAGUAUGGGGGAAAUGAAAGAGCAAUCAUUACAGUUACUUUGGUUAAUGUUUUGGUUGUGCACACAAACAAGGUGCAUCUAGUUUUUAUAGCAAUUUUGAUUGGUAUGCAAUUUAUAUGUCUUACAUGGUAUCCCUAUUAACUGGUAUAGUUAACCAUUUGGAAAAAUAUCUUAUAAACCAUAGUGCUGAUAAAUUGAUUCAGUCGAUGAAACUAUUUUUACAGGCCCUGGCAGGCUGACUGCAAGGGCUCUCUGCCCACCUCUCACCAUGAGAAAGCUAGGCAUCUCUUUCUUCCAUACACACAUUGUUGCCCGCGGUUAUGCUUUUGAAGAGAUGUCUUAUUUGUUUAUUUGUGUGUUUAAAUAUCAAAAUGUCGCAAAGAAACCCUAUCUGUUUAUUUUUUUACUAACUUAAUUGUUUGGUGUGCAAUCAUGUAGAUGCUUUUAAGCCAGAGAGUCCAAGAAGUUGGUGCUGAUACGUGCAAAAAUUGCUGUCUUACAAGUAUAGCGUGCAGUUGCAGACAGCAAUUUUCAUUCUCACAAGGAGUUACUACUGGAUACUACAUGCAAGAGCAUAAUCAGAAUAAUUCUCCUGGUGUAUAUGUUGCUGAGUCUGCCCCAGGUGAAGGAAAUGGUCUCUUUAGGCCUGUACGUGUGCAUGUCAGGGGUCCUAUUGAUGGGCUUGCUGGUAUCGGACGCGGAACUACAUUUGUACCAGCAACUGCCUGGCCUCCAACUCGGUUUGUUUUUUCCCGUGUGCCAUUUGGCAUGGGCAACAGAAAUUGCCAGCAGUCUCUUGCUAAUGAUGAUUCAGAGGCUAGAGCUGACCAUAAUGGGGACCUGUCUGGAGAUGGAUUAACAGCUUUAGUUGGGCUAAGCCAAGGAGGGAACAAUGUAGCUAAUGCUCAUGGGGAGCAAACAGAGAGAGGCUAUGAGAUGGAUAUGCAAAGCAGAAUGGCUGGAACGUCCAUGUCAGUGCCAAGUACUAGUGGUGUACCCAUUCAGAUGGUAGAGUCGUCAGACCAUGCACUUGGGAUUGAGUGGGAUAAUGCAAGCAGUUCUUCCAUCUCAUUGGAUAUGAAAACACCUUUAAGUCACUUCCCUCCUUUCCGCUUUGGGUAUGUGAGCUCUUUCCAUACUCCUUUCCACCUGCGCUUUAGCUUUUGAACUCUCUUUGGAAAAUAAGAAUCAUACAUUCUUUUUAGGAUGCUGUCCUAUGAUCUACUAGCUCAGAAGUCUCCUUUACAAAUUGAUUACCUAAUUAUACAAGUGCUUUUGCACAUCCACUUAUGCAAGUCCUUUCUGCUUGGGACUGGAUUUUGUGUGUGUGAGGAUGGUUGAGUUCGAAUUUGCUCAAGUCUGAAUGUCAUUAACAAUAUUAUAAUGUGGAUGUAAUGAUUGAUCAUCAUGCUUAAUUGUCUAUCCUACUAAUUACAAGUCGCCCUUUUUUUUACAGGGUGCAAUUUGAGGAUGUGCACAGGCUUAGUGAUGGCCAAGUGAAGCACUCUUCAGAAGUCUUUUAUGCUGGUUCUUUAUGGAAGGUGUUUGAGUACAAACUUAUUGUUCUUUUCAAUAUAAGAUUUACAUAUGUGGUGAUGCUUUUCCGAUUUCCGAUUUCCAAUUUCCAUGCUCUCAGACAGAUGGGUUUUCUGUUCCAAUUUAUAGGUUAGCGUUCAGGCUUUUAAUGAUGAAGAUCCUCAAGGACGUCGAACACUUGGUACUGUUCCUGGCUUAAUGAUAUAUACCUUGGAAGCAUGUUGUUUUGCUUUCCUGAAUUAUAUUUUAAAUUUGUUGCUUAAGCUGAAUGCAUAUCAUAUAUUUGUUAUUUCAGGAUUAUUUAUUCACCGACGUAAGGCAGAGAUUACUGAUUCAUUCAGAAAGGUUAGCCAGCCUUCCCUUUGAUUGUUUGAGCAUGAUUGGGUUAUUUUAGUUAUGGAGAAGAAUGCUUCUUAUCUUCAUAUUUAAAGGAUCACCCUUUUUCACUGUGUUUUGCUGACGAGUAUGUUUUGUCAGCAUUUGUGACUCAUAUAGUUGUUAAUUGAUAAUGUACGGUUUAUGCCCAAAACAGGUGCAAAUGUAUGUCGAUUCUCGUGAAAAGGUUACAGCCCGCUAUCAGGUAACAUUCCAAAGUGACCAAACAUUGUCAGCUUAGCCCAUUUUCAUGUUACGCCAGAACCUUGUAUAUUGAAUCCGUGCUUCAUAUACCUGUAUGAUGCAGUUAAUUUGCCCAUCAAAGAGGGAAGUCAUGGUGUUUGGGAGUUUCAAGCAGACAGGCACGCUUUUACCGAAAGCUCCCAAGGGCUGGGGAUGGCGAUCAGCUCUGCUGUUUGACGAGCUUGCUGAUCUUCUCCAAAACGGGACCCUAAGAGUGGCUGCUGUUGUACAGCUUGUAUGAAUAAUGAAUUAUACAGAGGUAGUUUCAGUGGUAAAUUUAUCUGGAACAUGAUGGUAACGAUCCUCCUUGCUGACACAGAUAUUUUCUUAUUUUUCAGAUAAAAGCCACAGCCGAAUAAGUUGGCUUUCGACAUACGAUGACAAUUGGACCUUUUUGCUGUGUUGACAAGUAGUUGUCUUUUGUUUAUUUAAGGAUUCUCUUGCGAAGAAAUACUGUAUUGAGGGAAAGAAAGAGGGAAAUGUUUACACACCAUUUUUCUCCAUUUGCAUCCUCUGUUUGGUUUUGUUCGUUGAUUUUCUGUAUUCGUUUGAUCAAACAGUCGGUAACAGGCGUGGGGUGUGCAUGUGGAGAAAAAUGGUGUGUUAAAGUCAUCUCCCAUGAAAAAUCGUCCUUGUAUUAUUUUUCGAAUGUUUGAGUAAACAAUGCGUGCGGUGGAUUUGGUUAAGCUCGCACCUCAACUGCUAUGCUAGCUAGUCAAAUAUUUACCCAUAUCGUCGUAUGUUUGCUGUUGCCCUAAGUGGACUAUGUAAUGUAUUUUAUCUGCUGGCUUACAGGUGGGCAUUUGAGACAUCUUUCGAUCUUUGUUACGUGCUUAUACUCGCGCUGCGCUUCGAGAACAGCGAAGGCUUACAAUCUUUACGUUCACUGAUGCAAAAAGGGUACUGGUGAGUUCUGUAGCAUUCGAUGUUUGUUUUAGUAGCAGUCUUGUUCGGCUGCUAGAAGUCUAUGCAAACCUAUGGCUAUAUCUAUUGAGCAACAUUCAACCAAAUUUCUCGUCUCACCUUUCUCGUCUUCUUUCACAUGAGGAACAGGGUAAGUCUUCAAUAUUUCGAGGUUUUCGGACUACUGGGUAGCACGAUUUUAUAUCAAUUAGAUUGACAAGCAAAAAUAUUUGUCAAAAAUAAUAUUUCUCCAAUUCAAUCAUGACUGUUCAUUUUUGUAGUACUAAUAGUUUUGACUACAAGGAAACAUUGUUUUCCUUGCAUAUAUUGAGAUACAUGCCUCGUGUUUCGACAAAAAAAAAAAAAAAACAUCUUGUGUCCCUGAAAAUAAUAGAUAAAAUUAGGCUCAAAUGUUUGAAUGGUCCUUUGCGUUUUAGAACUCGUUUGGAUGUGUUUUUAAAAUGACUGAAAGCAUUUUUAGUGAAAAUGUUUUUGGAACCAAUUCUUAGUAAAAAUACAAUUAAAUUAUGGAAAAGCAUUUUAAGUGCUUUUGGAACAAAAAAAACAUUUUCUCUAAAAUCAUUUUCAAUCAUUUUUAAAACCAAAUCCAAACGAGUCCUUAGUCAUUGGGUCAAUUUAGUCCUUGUGUUUUCAAUUUGGCUAAUUUGGUCUUUGUGUUUAUUUCUACUAGCCAAUUAAUGACAUUUUUAUCUAAUUUGUGUAAAAAAAAAAAUUGUAUAAAUUAUUAUAAACUUAUUUAUAAAAUAAUUUACUUGAUUUAAAAUAUCUAAAAUUAAAAAAUUAAAAGAAAAUUUAUUCUCCUCCCAACUCCCGACCUCCUCCCUAACGUUACCCCCUCUCUUUUCUAUAUCACAACCUUAAUCAUUUUUUCAGAUUGGAAGUUUUAUCUUUUAUAUGUGUUAUUUCUCAAAUCAUUUUUCUGUAAAGAGAAAAGGUAAUUAUAUUUCUUAUAAUUAUUUUUAUGAAUUUUUUAACAGAGAUGAAAUGAAAUGUCCUUAAUUGGCUAACAGAGACAAACACAAUGACUAAAUUAGCCAAAUCUAAAACAUGGAGACUAAAUUGACCAUAUGACUAUAACACAUUGAUCAUUUUGACAUUCAAGCCAAAAAUUAUGUUUAUCACAUAAUAUAAUGAAUAAUUUCUUUCGCACUCGUUUUCAUACACAUUUCUUCAAGUGGGCAUGUUUAUAUAAUUAAUGAUCAACCAAGUUAGAAAUUAGUUCGAAACUAAUUUUUCUCCUAAUUAAUUUAUUAUUUACUUGUUAAGAUUUGAACUACUGAUUAUUCGUAAACAUUAAGAAAGUCACAACGAAAGUAGUUAAAACCUAUGUAUAGUAAUGGGUCAAUCGUUUUUUUUUUUUUUUUUGCAUAAAAAAAUCGUUUUUUUUUCCUUAAUGCAUAGCUUAUUUGGAAAUAUUUAUAAAAUAGCUGAAAGCGUUUUUAGUGGAAAUAUUUUUAAAAUCAAUUAUAACUAAAAAUAUAAGUGGAUAUUUGAAAAGCACUUUAAACGAUUCAUGCAAAAAAUACAUAUUUAAUGAUUCUUCUGAAUCAAUUUCACAAAAAACUUUUCAAUUAUUUUAAAAAUAAUUAAAAUAUUAUCAAUCUACUAAAAAAAAUAAAAAAAUAAAAAAGUAAUUCUACCAAACCGCGAAAGCCCAAGCGUUUCUUAAAAAAACGCACACGAGCAAAAUUGGGAAAUGCAGAUCCCAACUCGAACUGCGUCAAAAUUAAAAUUGUUUCACCGGUUCGUUCUUUCUUUCUCUAGAAACUUUCGUUCUUAUGCUCGAGGUCUGUUGUUGUGCAACUUAGAUUUCUAAUACCUUGUUAUUUCCUUCUACCUUCCUCUGCUGUUUGCCUCAUUUGACAAGGUUAAGGAAGUAGAUGAGUUCUUCAAAGCGCAUCCCAAACCGAAGAUAACUAGAACAGUGAAGCAGAGCAUUGAGCGGGUGCAAAUCAACGCCAAAUGGGUUCAGAGUGUUCAGUGCGAGAGAAAACUUGCCGAUGUCGCAACGGAGUUGGCAUACCAGAAAUACUAGGAUUCCAUGUUUGGCUGCUUCUGUUUUUUUAACGAAGAUUAUGUCUGGGACUGGAUUUCCAAACUAAUGUAACUUGAACUUGCCAAAACAAAGAAUAAAGAGACAUAAAUAAUUGCACUAGUAUUCUCUCAUGAAAAAUGCAACCAUUACUUGAAUCUCCUGUGAUCUUUUAUAAGAUGGGGACUGAUAACACCACGGAACGCACUUACGGUCACAAAAACAAGUUACUCUACUUGAUUGCCGUAUGUUUGUUUGAACCAAAUACCUUUCUUUGUCAUCUAUGGUCUGUCUUUUUUGGAAGAAGAUUGUCUAUUAUCUAUUGUCUAUCCCGCCAAACAAUAUUUCUACUCUAAACUACACUAAGAGAGGAGAGAGAGUUUGAACUUGGAAUAUGAGUGUAGAUAAUUAUCUCAAAAGAAUCGACUAUAGAUGAUUGGAUGGUGUAUUGGUAAUUUUCAUUUACAAGGCCCGUUAAUAAGAGGUCUAGCCCAGUCAACACUUUCCCCUUCCUUCCGAAACGACCCAAUAUCUACCCAAGAAAUAUAUAAACCGGCCCAAAACACCUCAUUAGAGAGUGAAAAACUCGGCCUUCGCCCCUCCCCUCUGAACCGGUUUGCGAGACAUGGGGAUCAUCACCGAUUCACAGAACAAGAAGAAACCUUCUUCUUCUUCCACUUCUCCCUGUGCAAAACUUAGAGACGCCUACCACAAUUGCUUCAUCAGGUCCUUUCAGCACAAAAUUAGUUUCCAUUGUUGCCCUUAAACCCUAAUCUCACUCCCCUCUCUCUCUCUCUCUCUCUCUCUCUCUCUCUCUCAAAUCCAUUUUCGUUUUCUGAAAAGGGUAUAAUGGGUAUUGUAUUUGUGUGCAGGUGGUACACAGAGAAGUUUGUGAAGGGGCCAAUGAGACAAGGAGGAUUGCAUUUCAGAAUGACAGAAAUACAAGGCCUGCCUCGCCGUGCGUUUCCAAAUCUUACCCUUCUCCUAAAUGCUCAUCCAAAUCACAAUUAAUAAUUUUGUUGAUGCACAAAACCGGGGCGGUCUUGGAACAACGUAAAUCCGACCGUGAAUCUGCACAAACGCUCAAGAACACAAAGAACACAAAGAACACAAGGAUUUUAUCGUGGUUCACCCCAAUGUUUGGGCUACGUCCACACUGUAGUUGAUUCUGUUUCUCUGUAAUUGUAUGGAUACAAGUGUUUGAGGGGAAGUCCCCCAGAGAGAGAAGAGAAGGGAGAGGAGAGCCUCGGUGGUGUGAGGACUCUCUCUCAAGGCUUCUAGCCUUUGUUUUCAGCUCUAGCCCUUAGAAAUGAGGACUUAAGACUUGGUUUAGAAUGAGGGGGAGUCCCCUUUUAUAGAAUAAGGGGCUCCUCCUCUUUUACAUUUGUCGUGGGCUUAAUGUGUGAGGCCCAAAUACGAGACCCAAGGCCCAAAUACGAGGCCCAAAUAUAUGGUACCAACAAAUUUUAUAAUAAAUAUUUUGCUUAUUUUAUUUUCUGGGUUUUUAAAAUUAUUUUAAUUUUGGUUUUGCUCAGGAACAUUUGGAAGAUAAGCAGUUGAGUCGCUUCUUAGAGGCGGAAUGCAAUGUGAACUCCACCACCACUGACGUUGGCUACCGAAAACCGGCAGCGGCGGAGACGGUAAUAUUGGUCUUGGUUAGGUGUUUUUUUGUUAGUCUGAGAAUGAAUUAGAGAAAUGAUUUUUAGUCAAAAUGGUUUAUGAUUUGUAUAACUCUUCACUUUGGUCGCCUUCGAUAAAAGUGGUCGUUUGAACUCAAUCAUUUUGGUUAGUUUAUGAAAAAUAUCCAGUAUUUUUAUCUAAUCAACCCCUCCACUUACGUUUCAGGACCAUUUGGUUAAAAAGCCUUAGAGAAAUCGUAAACUGAGAAUAUCGAGUCGGGUCCGAAAUGUGUAACAUUAGGCAUUAAUAUUCUGUGAAAUUGUACGUUUUUGGUUAGUUUUCUGUUAGAGUUUUGUGUGAUCAACCAGCAAAACUGUUUGAUAAUUUGAAGGGUCACAUUAUUUGAACAGCAAACAUAACUUCGAUUUUUGACAUUGCUGACUGCUUUUACACUUCAUUUUCCAUUGGCAUUGCUUCGUAUGCAAACGGAGCUUUGAUUGCUUCGUUUCUUCUUGAAUAGGAAUUGAACAACCAUCGACUCUUCUCCAUUGUUGUACGCAAACAGAGCUUUGGUUGCUUCAUUGCUUCGUAAGCAAACAGAGCUUUAGCAUUGCCACCGAAAUGAAGAAUGUAGGCCAAUAUACUGUCCAUUUCACGGCUGAAUCCAUAACUGGUUUUAUGGAGCAGGAAGCCUCUGUUUCAAACGUGCUGAUAUCUCCGACGACGUCUCUACAUUCUGCAGCUCUAGAUCCAUACACACCGUAACAAAAAAUGAAUCGAUAUCACGGCACAUAGUCCAGCGACUCAAUGUGAUAAAGAAUUAAUCGCUUACGCACAGACAUUGCUCUUCUAUGGAAGCUUUUUGUGUCGUCGAGCUGCAGAUCCCGGUAACUUUGCAGUUGCUAUAUCUCUGUGCAAUGCACAUGUAAACACGGAAAUUCUUGAAACAAAAGAGACAAGAACACGUGUGCAAAAUAAUAUUUGUAUUAAUGAUUUAGGGGUUACAAUCUCUCUCAAAUUUGAUCAUCUGAUUCGAUCUCCGUAAGAUGUUGAUUUAUAUUUGUCAAUUGAGGCUUGAUCUCGGACGAACGGGAAUUCUUCAAGAGCAUGGCUAUCUCAAAAUUGUGAACGAUCUUCAACCUGGACUUAAUCUUGAUGAACAGUUGGAUCUUUAAGGGCUUGACUUGAAAACGAAGGGAUUUGGUUGUUUCCAAAAGGCCUUGGGGCUUGAUCUUAUGAAAAUGAUGAAACGAUGAACACUUCUUCAAGAGUCGUUGGGGCUUGAUCUUGAAUUGGUAGAAGUUCCUUUAAAGGGCCGUUGCUUGAUGAAGGUUUGUUGACGAAGAACGAAGAGAGCUUCUUAGUUCGGAUUUGCUUGAAGCUUUGGAGUUUUAAAGCUUCAAGGUUUGGUGUGAGUGAAUUGGUUAUGAAUAGGUUAUGAAUUGGUUAUGAAUUGGUUAUGAAUUGGUCCCUUAAAUGAAUGUCUUGGCUUCCUAUUUAUAGAAUUCCAAAAUUUGAUUUUUGGGUUUAAAUAAUCAAAUGAAAUAAAUCAUUUUGCCAAGCGUUGACACGUGUCAUGUUUGAUGACUUUUUAUGAGUUCUCGAUUUUUGUUGAGUCACAUGCUAUGUGUAAAAUUUAUGUGACACGUGAACGUUGAAAUUCUAAUUAUUGAUCAACAUUUAUUUCACCGAAAUUUCGAUGUCUACAGCACAAUGACAAAGAUUCCCAGCCACACCCAAAAUCAAGAUCAGUGUGACCAUCUUUUAUCCAUGACCUUUCACAGUAGAGCUCCAACACUACUUUCUCAGCAUCCUCUACUUGAGUUCUCACGCAAGUGUGAAUCUAGAAAAACAUUUAAAGUGCUUUCUGAAAGAAGCAUAUAAUUAGUACUUCUUGUAAUAAGCAAUUCAAGUUCUUUUACAACCCAAAAAUAUUUUCAAUGGCGUUUUCAGUCAAUAGCAAUAGGCGUCAUCUUCAAGCGAUCAGAGGAUGAGUCAAACAUGACUCUCAAACUAUCCAACCCACCACCGCAGACAUGAAAUCCACAACUAUAGGAAGGAUUGAGAGGAGCACCAACAUCAAACGGAUACAAAAAGACAUCAAAAGCAGUUAGUCCAAAAAUAAAAACAGCUGAUAAAACCUUAAUCCCCAUUAAAAAGAAGCAACCCAUAGCCAAAUCAAACCAAAAAUGGCAAGCAAAACCAAAGCAAAAAUCAAAUCUUAAAGUGCAGCAAUUGAAAUUCCAUAUCGGGUCUAAAACUUUAAGAUCUAAUUUUUGGUUAAGGGAUAGGGAAGAUGGUGGGGAAGAGCAUGGUUGACAAGGACUGAUGUGUGGGGUGGUGAUGGAAAUAUGGAAGGGCUGGGUUUGAGGGAGGGAAAAAGGUGAGGAAAGAAAGCAAAAUAUAAAAGGAGAAAACCCGGGCCUCCGACUCUCAAAACGGCAAUCAUAAGGAGAAACUGAAGAAAGGGAAGAAAAACGGGAGAGAGGGUGAGAAAGCUGGAAAAAUUAUCUCGCAUAGGAGAAAGAACCCCCACAAAAUGGGAAGAACUCUCACAGAGGAGAGAGAAGUUCAUUUACACAUGUUUUGCUAAGAACAAAAUUAACCGUACUACGAAACUUUAAAUUGCUACGUUUGAAACUAUAAGGAUAAGUAAAAUUUUAGUUAGAGUAUAAGGUUAAAAUUAAUAUGGUAGUGAUCUUGAUGCUCUUGUUUUUUACCCAAAUAAUGUUAGGUAAGUUAUAUUUUUAAAUCAUAUUGAUGUACUCACACGUGGCAAAUAAUGAAUACAACUAACAUUUAAUCAGAUAGAUUCAUUAACUAACGAGACAUAUAUACGUCACUUAACACGUCAUUUGAUAAGCCAAUGUGAUAUAAAAAUACAGUCUCUCUAACAUUAAUCUUUUUACGUAAGCAAUAAUUUUUUUUUUGUUUCUCUCUCCUAAGUUUCAUUAGUUAAAAGAGAUUCUAGACACAGAAAAAGAAAACGAAAGUCGGAAAAUCAUUAUUUUUUAGACGAUCCAAAAGCAUGCAUUUGGAUCCUCUCUUGAGCAGAGGGUCCAAAUCUUGCUGACUAAGAACACGGAUCGUUGGAUCAAAUUCUAACGACUACAAACAGAAAACCCUUCUAAAGUUAUAAUAAUUGUAACUGUUAAAUUUUGAUCCAACGGUCUGUUUUCUUGGUCAGCCGGAUCCUCUGCUCAGGAGAGGAUCCAAAUCCCCAAAAGCAUAUUAUCGUUCACGAAAUACAAAUUACAAUGACCAUUAUAACAGCCAAACUGGUUUCGGUCUACCGGAACGACUCUCUAAUCACUCAACCGUCCCACACACAGAAGACAAAACUUGUAUUUUCAAUCGCCUUUAAAAUUCGUCACGGUAAAGUUUUUCCCGGAAAAUCUUCACACGAUUCCCGAGAAAAUACCCAAAACCAAUCACACGGCUCGCUCGACCAAGCCAUCCAUCUGCACGGUGUUCAUCGGCUGAGACCCCGAGCGACGUUCCUCCGGCUAAUAGACGCUCGGUCCUUCCUGGUACUGUACAUUUGCAGUUUUUUUUUCUUCAUAUUUUCAGCAUUUCUCAUUCGAUUAAUCAGUUCCAGUUUUUGGAUUGUUUUUUCAAAAGAAUCUGUAGGGGGUUUUAGAGAAAAGUUGAAUUAUUUACAAGUUUCCAUGGUGGGUUUGGUUGGAUAUGGUGUAAUUAGAUUAAUUUGUAUGCAAAUAUAAGAUAUCAUGUUGCAGAAAAAUGAGAGUAGGGAGGAUUACAGUGGUGGGAAUUCCAACAACGGUGAAUUGUUGCGUGACAUCGAAGAACUAAGCAAAGCCCUUUACUUUCAGAAGCCCCACAGAAGGUUUUGCUUUACUCUUCUGAUGGAAGAUCCAAAUCUGCUGGGAAAACCCGUUUUUCGGAUUCGAACCCGAGAUUUGUGAGGGAAGAUUUGUUGCACAAGGACAAGAAAUCGUCUUCGGUGUGGAAUUGGAAGAAGCCCUUGAAGUCAUAGGAAUCGGAAAUUUAGUUGUUGUUUUUACCUUCAUGUGCAUUCUGUUGAAGGGUUGCCUCUGAGUUUUAAUAAUCUUAGUGUAUGUGCGCAGUGGAAGAGGAAGGGUGAGGUGCUGCAGACUCGGUCUUCGAAGGUUGUGGAAGGCGUAGCUGAGUUUGUGGAAGGGAGUGAAAAACUCGGACUUCGCCUCCCGCCUCUGAACCGGUUUGCAACACAUGGGGAUCAUCACCGAUUCACGGAACAAGAAGAAAUCUUCUUCUUCUUCCACUUCUCCCUGUGCAAAACUCAGAGACGCCUACCACAAUUGCUUCACCAGGUCCUCUCAGCGCCAAAUUAAUUUCCAUUACUACCCUUAAACCUAAUCUCUCUCUCUCCCCCCCUCUCUAAAAUCCGAUUUUUCGUUUUCUGAAAAGGGUAUAAUGGGCAUUGUCACUGUCUGCAGGUGGUACUCGGAGAAGUUUGUGAAGGGCCAAUGGGACAAGGAGGAUUGCGUUUCAGAGUGGCAGAAAUACAAGGCCUGCCUCGCCGUGCGUUUCCAAAUCUUACCUUUCUCCCAAAUUUUCAUCCAAAUCACAAUUAAUAAUUUUAUAUAAAUAUUUUGCUUAUUUUAUUUUCUGGGUUUUUAAAAUUAUUUUAACUUUGGUUUUGCGCAGGAACAUUUGGAAGAUAAGCAGCUGAGUCGCUUCUUAGAGGCUAAAGGCAAUGUGAACUCCACCACCACUGACGGUGGUGGCUAAUGUCGAGAAUCAUUCGCGGUAACUAAUGUUCUGCGAAAUUGUAUGUUUUUGGUUAGUUUUUCUGUUAGAGUUUUGUGUGAUCAACCAGCAAAACUGUUUGAUAAUUUGAAGGGUUUAUACUUUUUACAAUUUCUCAACCGUCUCAUUAUUUUGAACAGCAAAUAUGCACUUUGAUUUUUGACAGUGCUGACCGCUUUUUACACUUGAUUUUCCAUCGGCAUUUGCUUCGUACGCAAACGGAGAUUUGAUUGCUUCAUUUCUUCUGUUCCGUUCUUUUGAGCAACUCUUCACUGCAACACAAAAGGGUCUUCAAUUUCUCGGUUAGAGUUUUGCAUUCGGUUACAAAAGGGGUGAGAGGGUUCAACCUAACCUUGUUUGCACAUAGUGCUUCCCGUUUGCGAGGCAAUGAUUGACGAUGGAAACAUCAUCUUGCACAAAGAAAUAUCACCAAGACGAAUCCUUCCUCGAUGCCUAGUAAUCCGGUCAUCUUCACUUUUGUCCUGCAUCAGAUUAACGCAUGAGAGUUCUUUAGGCGAGCAGGAGUUUCUGACCAUUGCUUGCCGGAUAUGGGCUUUGGCGUGGACUAUUUUUACAUGGUUUUCACGGGAUGAUUACUAGAAAGUCCAACUUUUGAGCCCAACCCAAGUAGGGCGGAGUAUGCUUUUGGUCUUGUAGUGGUAAUUUAAGUGAUGUAGUUUAUUAGAAAAAGGGGAUAACUUGUGGCAAGACAUAGUUAUCCAUCAAUUCCGGAGGUCAGGAAAACUCACAAAGGCAUUUCAGCUUUCGUCCGGUCACAAUCAAGCAGACUCACCAGCUUGAAUCCUCGAACCUAGGAUCUCCCUGUUUUUUGUAUUUUGAGAGCCAGAAUUCGCGCUGUUACCACUAAGCCACUUGUUUUGGCUUGUCAUAAUACAAUUGGUUGGAAAUAUUUUUUUUUUCAAGUUUCCAACUAAUUAUAUUACAAUACUUAGUGUAAUGGCCAUGUGUCCGACACAUUGAAAUGGUCCCUUAACAUUCCUCUUUCUACAUAUGCACUAUUUUUUUUUCUCUUAAUUUUACAGUAAUUAUUCAAAAUAAAAAACUACAAAACAGACCGUAGACACAUAAAAGAAAAAGAAUUACCUAAAAACAAUAUUUUUUUAUAAUUGUUAUUAACACUCUAAAAUUCUCAUUUUUUACUUUAGCUUUUUAUAUUUAGAAAUAAAAAUAUACGAGAAAUGUAAAAUGAGAGUGAAACUGUGUUAAAGUGACAAUAACAUUUCCAUUUUUUUUUAAGAUCCAAAAUCAUAUUUUCGUUCACGCAAUACAAUGACGAUUAUAACCUUGUAAGGCUGGUAUUAGUCCACCAUUGGACACAGGCCAGGUCGGGUCCAAAUUUGGAGGGACUGGACCAUACUGGUUUUAAAAUGUAACGGGCUGGGUAUAAGAAAUUUGAACUUUGAAACAGGACCUAACCCGGCCCAGAAAAAACGGGCCGGUUCGGAGCCGGUCCACGGGUCCUUUUUUUUUUUUUUAAAAAAAAAAAACAGUUUUAACAAUUUAUUACUCUUGCAACAAAAAAACCUCCUCGAUUACAAAGUUUCGUUUCCAUAUAUAGCUAUAUAUAAGUAUAUUUCCAGCCAACUCCCCUUACAUAUAUCGUUGCCUAGAAAAAACCAAAAUUACUGAUUGAUGUUUAUGAUCUUUAGUGUGUUUGUUUUUUGUUUUUUUUGGUGUGUUUAUUUAAUUUUAUUUGGUGUUUUUUUUUUCAGUUCAUUUAGUGAGUUUUUUAUUAUUUGGUAUGUUUAUAUAAUUUUAUUUGGUGUGUUUAAAUGUCUUUUGAAUAAAGAUUCUCUUAGUAUAAAUAAAUUACCAAAUUAAAUAAAUAUACUAUUAGUUUAAAUAAAGUACUCUAUUCAAUAAAUAAAAAAUUACAACCCAAAGUGAUUGGAAAAUUAUGGGCUCCGAUUACAAAAAGUACUCUAUUCACUAACCAAUUUGUGGUGCUAGGAUGAUAUUCUCUUGUCGCGCUAGGACCAUCUCUUCUUGCUCUCGCUUCUCUUGCACGCCUCAUUCGCACCACUUCCGCUUUCUCCGACUUCCAAAAAUAUUUAGAAUUUGGAGACCUUCCCUUCUAAAGGGGUGGCCAUAAUGUCACGAUCUCGUUGAGCCAUUAUUUCUUCUUUAACCUGUUUCAUUUCUUGCCUAAGUAGCUCUCUUUCUCUCUCAUUAGCUUGAAAUGCUAUCUCAACAUUUGCAGCUUUUGCCUCCUGUAGCCUUAUUAGCCUCAAAUUUCGCCAUUUCCCGCACCAAAGUCAAUUUACCUUAGUGAGCAAGUUCUUCCAUAUACUUUGCAUAAUCAUUCUUGGAAGCACUCCCUUUUCUCUUUGAAGUCUUCUUACCUCGAGACCUAAUUAGAUAACGGGUCGAUCCUGACGCUUGUUCAGGGGGGCGUUUCGGGCACUUCUUCUGCUUCAUCUUCGUGAACAUGCAAGGCAUGAUCAAUUGUAGAGUGUAAAUGGGUGCUGUUCAUGAGAACUUCUUGACUGACAAGCACAACUUUGAAUUUAGGACAAUCUUUGACAAUAUUCCAACAUUCCAACUGGUUUAAUGAUUUAUUUUUGCUUUUGGUUUUGGCACCAUACCAAGCUUGUGCUUGAAGUUGCUACACAAUGCGGGAUAAGAAAUAAUUAUAAUGAAAGUAGGUAACAAAUAAAUAAUACAAACAAAUAAUUAUAAUGUAAAUUUGGGUAUAGUACAAACAUAUAAAUAAUAUAUUGUUACCUGAUCCGCGUAAUUUUUCCCACUUCAAAGAUUAGUACUAGCUUGUGCUAAGGCAUCUCUCCACGUACUAAACGAUUGGCUAAGUAAUUUCCAACGAUUGGACAUCAAUUAUUUGGUUCUUUUCUCACCCAUUUUCUCAAGAUAAUUGGUAUGAAUAAGACUCCACAUUUCUCGCAACUGCAUCUCAUUACCCGUAAGCAAACUAUGAGUAGCUUCAACCCAGCUAGUACACAACGCAACAUCUUCAAAAAGCGUCCAAUUUGUACAUGCAUCAGUAAUCAUUUUGUUGAAAAAGAUUGGAUUGAAACUUUGAGACAAAGAUAGGAAUGUGGUUGAAAGUAGUUGAGAAAAUAUGAAAUUGUGGUGUAAGGUAAAUGAUAAUGAGAAGGUAUUUAUAGAAAAGUAAAAACAAUUUUUUUUUCUUCUAAUUUUUAUUCAUUUUUUUACAAUUUUUUAAAUUUUUUUAUUCAACUAAUUAAUCUCUGCCAUUGGAUUUAAAAAAAUUUAAUUCCAACACUCUAGAUUGUGCCACGUGGCAUAACGGCAACAUUUCUGAAUUUUAAAACUUUUUUUUUUUAUUUAUUUAUAAAAGAGAAUAAUAUCAACUGUUGAUCUCAGAUCCAACGGUUGAUAUUAAAUAAGCGUCGUUGAGAUCCAACAGACCAUGGGAAGCCACGUGGCUUCCCAAUGGUAACAAUUUGAAACUGCGCCGCGGGCCCCAUUCGCUGAAAACAUGUCGGGUGACGUGCCCCCACGUGCGGAUGCAUUGCACGCACCUGACAGAAAAAAAUAAAAAAAGGAUCUGACGUCUGGCUGACGUCAGCGUUGCGUCAAAUAGCCUUCGGGCUCGCUGGCUGGCAAUUCGUGACAAGCCUGGUACACGGGCAUGCCUUGUCCCUCGGGCUCCCACACGCUGGAGUCAAUAGACCGGGCUCUCAGACCAUGUUUGCUGCCUCUCCCCCGAGCUCCAGCCCACGCUGGAAGUGCUCUAAUUACAACUCUACUUACUCCACCGUACAACACACAGAAGACAAAACUUCUAUUUUCCAUCACCUUUAAAUUCGUCACGUUAAAGUUUUACCCGCAAAAUCUUCACACGAUUCCCGAGAAAAUACCCGAAACCAACCACACGGCUCGCCCGAGCAAGCCAUCCAGGUGUUCAUCGACUGAGAAGCCGAGCGACGUUCCUCCGGCCAAGAGACGCUCGGUCCUUGUUGGUAUUGUAAAUUUGCAGUUUUUUAUCAUAUUUUCAGCAUUUCUCAUUCGAUUAAUCAGUUCCAGUUUUUGAAGUGUUAUUCAAAAAAAUCUGUAGGGGGUUUUAGAGAAAAGUUGAAUUAUUUACAAGUUUCCAUGGUGGGUUUGGUUGGAUAUGGUGUAAUUAGAUUAAUUUGUAUGCAAAGAUAAGAUAUCAUGUUGCAGAAAACUGAGAGUAGGGAAGAUUACAGUGGUGGGAAUUCCAACAAUGGUGAGUUGUUGCGUGACAUUGAAGAACUACGCAAAGCCCUUUACUUUCAUAAGCCCCCACCAAAGAUUACAAUGUCGAGUGAUUUCUUAAACAUCCUUGGUAUGGACUGUAGCAUGAGUUCUGAUAGUGAUGCCAAGUCUCCUAGAGAACGUCUUUUAAGAGAGUUUGAAAAAGAGGCUCUGGGUUCGGGAAACUUAUUUUUUGAUUUUGAUUGGAAGGAAGAGCAGCCCGAAAUUGGAUCCUCUGUUUCACCAGGUUCUGAUUCUGAAGAUUGCUUGGAGAAUUCUGAUUUGUCAUUGAUUAUUGAAGCCGCUGAAGAAGAGCACAAGAAAGAAAGUGAGCUAUUAAGAAGAAGGAAGGCCAAAAUUCUUCAAGGCCUGGAGACUGAAGCUUUGAUGCGAGAAUGGCCUCGUACCUUCUCUUAUGAAAUUAGUUAAAACAAAUAUUCUUAAUAAGGCAACAAAUUUAAAAAAAUUUAAUUGUAAAAAAUUAGUUGUUAGAAUAUAUAUUAAAUAAAUAGACGAUUGCUGAGUUGACAAUUCAUCAGAGCAUUUUAAAAAAGAUCAUAUGUUUAGGCUAAAUAAGUUAGAAAAAUUGUAGAAGAUUAUCCGCACAUUCCUUUUAACGUCUCACACAUCUUUCUAAUUUUUUGCCGUCUGAUUUAAAGAAAUUAAAAUAAUAAAAAGAUCAUAUGUUUAGGCUAAAUAAGUUAGAAAAAAUGGAGACGAUGAGUCCCACUCGCACACUUCCGAAAUCUGAACUCGAUAAACUCUCGCGCAGCUCGCAAGUAACAGUCAUCGUCUAUUGGAAGAAGCAUCAAUCAUGUUCCAAGUCAUAUCUUUUGUUAAAAUGCAUGCAUGAAAUAAACAUGUUGGAUGACUAGUGAAGUUAGGCUAGUCAACAUUCUUUGUGUAAAUUAGGCAAGUUAGGCAAGUUAGGAAAUUAGGCAAGUUAGGCAAGUUAGGCAAGUUAGGCAAGUUAGGCUUAUGUUCUCUUUCUUUCCCUAUAUAUAUGUUUCAUCUUGUAAUUGUUUUGAUAUGAAAUAUACAUCCAAAAUUCAACAUGGUAUCAGAGCAGGAAUUCUAAAAUCCUGACUCUGAAUUUUUUUCGUUGCAUUUUUUCCUUCACGCUACGAUGGCGGAAGACAACUCAUUUGAAGCUGAAAGUUCUUUGGCUACUGCAGCAAGUUCCGACGUUGAGGUUAAUCCAAACCAACGUCUCAGUUCUGUCUUGUUGAAUGAAUUCAACUAUCUUCCAUGGGCUAGAGCCAUAUCUCUUGCACUGGGAGGAAGAUCUAAGCUUUGAUAUAUCAAUGGUGCUAUACAGGCGCCUGCAGCCACGUCUCUUACAUUUGAGUCAUGGCUGUGUAAAGAUCAAUUGGUUAUGUCAUGGUUACUUAAUUCUAUGGAGCGUAGAAUUGCUGAAAUUUUCAGUUAUUCAGAAUCAUCCAUGCAUCUAUGGGCUCAAGUCAAGGAAAUGUAUGGGAAUCAAAACAACGCUGCUCGUGUUUUUCAGCUUAAGAAAGACAUUGCAAAUCUGCAACAAGAAGGCAAGUCAUUUGUUCAACACCUUGGCAGCUUGACAAGUAUGUGGAACGAACUUGAUGUUUAUCGACCUCAUACCACUGAUGCUACUGUCCUAAUAAAGAGACCUGAGGAGGAUAAGAUCUUUCAACUUUUGGCAAGCUUGGGCACAGAGUUUGAAGAUCUUAGAAGCCAUGUACUUAUGAAUUCCGAGCUGCCAUCUUUCACAAGUGUAUGUGCUAUCAUUCAAAGAGAAGAAGUAAGGAAGAAAGUGAUGAACUUGGAGAUCAAAUCAAAUAUGCCUGAAACUAGGGCUUAUGUUUCUAAUCAUAGUCGCACUGAAGGAAGGCCUUAUAAAGGCCUGACUUGAAAUGCAACUAUUGUGAUGUUGUUGGAAACACUCGAGAUAGAUGCUGGAUUCUUUAUCCAGAACUGAAGCCAAGCUCAUUAAAGGAUAACAAGGGCCCCCAGAAAAAGCUUGAAUCAUUCAUCUCACUGAGCCAACCAUGCAGCUGGUUCUUCAACUGAGGGCAUGAUAAACUUUACAGCAAAUCCCGCCGUAUUGAUCAACGAGUUCGCAGCCUAUCUCCACAAGAAACAGUUGCACAAUGACUGUUUGGAAACCUCUAUGUCUGAAAGCAAAAAUCACACUGCUUUAUUGGGAAAGUUCGCUGGAUUUCUUGCAGAGACUGACCGUGUUCCACAAAAUGAUAUGCCAGGUAUCUUAAGUUCAUUCUCAACUGCUCUUAAUGCUAGUUGUGUGCAUGAUUAUUGGAUUAUAGAUUCAGGAGCUACAUAUCAUAUGACAAAUCAACUCACCAAACUGCAUGAUUUUAAAAUAAUGUCCAUUCCAUCUCAAGUGUCAGUAGCUAAUGGGAAAGGAGCCUCAGUUGUAGGAAAAGGAAAAAUCAAUCUUCUUUCAGAUCACAUAGAGUCAAUAGCACUUUAUGUUCCUUCAUUCCCUUGUCAACUGUUAUCCGUUGGAUCCCUCACAAAAUCAUUAAAUUGCAUAGCCAUUUUCUCCCCUCAUAAUGUUGUUUUUCAGGAUAUCAUCACCAAGAAGACGAUUGGUGAAGGUUUCUUUUUAAAUGGCCUUUACUACCUAGCCAAAGAUUUCAAGACUUCCAAGGUUUUUCAAGCUAGCUCUAGUAUACCACAAGACCAACAUCUUUGGCACCAAUGGUUGGCUCACCCCUCUAAAAAAGUGAUGUCUUUUUUGUUUCCAAACCUGUGUAAGGACAAGAUUCAAUGUGAUGUUUGUCACUUGUCGAAAUCUGUCAGAUUACCCUUUGAUUCAUCCUUGUCUAGGGCUAGUAAUCCUUUUGAAAUCAUUCAUUCAGAUAUUUGGGGACCAGUUGUCGAGUCUUUUGAUGGAUAUAGGUAUUUUGUAACCUUUGUGGAUGAUUUUACAAGGAUCACUUGGUUGUACCUUUUAAAGUUUAAAAGUGAAUUUACAAGUGUGUUUCAAGAUUUCCAUAAACUUGUUAGCACUCAAUUCUCAUCCAAUAUUCACAUAUUAAGAUCUGAUAAUGGCACUGAAUAUAUGUCCAAUAAUAUGUCACAAUAUAUGAGCAACCAUGGCAUUCUUCAUCAAACAAGUUGUGUCGGUACUCCCCAACAAAACGGGGUUGCCGAGAGAAAAAAUCGAGACCUUCUUUAGAAGACAAGAGCUCUCAUGUUUCAUAUGCAUGUACCUAAGAAGUUUUGGUCACAAGGGGUACUUACUGCUACAUACCUCAUCAACCGCCUCCCUAGUAAAGUGCUAGGUUUCAAAUCUCCUUAUGAAAUGUUGAAGGAGAGAAAGAUUGACCUAUCUCACUUAAAGGUCUUUGGGUGUAUAUGCUUUGUUCACACUCAACCUACUCAUCGUGACAAACUUGAUCCUCGGGCUAAUAAGUGCGUGUUCAUGGGUUAUUCAUCUACACAAAAGGGGUAUAAGUGUUAUAAUCCAGUCACCAAGAAGCUUGUAGUGUCUAAAGAUGUUAGAUUCAAUGAGUCAACUCCCUACUUUACACAUAAAGUGGGUGAUACAAAUCAGGGGGAGUCUCUGCAUGAUUUCUUUCCAUUACCUAACAUCCCUUCUUAUCAAGAAAAAGUAGCAGGGACUGACACUCCAAGCUCACAUACAUAAUCCUUAUCUCAAGUCUCCGAGCCACUACCUCCACCACAAGUUCCAACUCAGAGAAAUCCCACAAGAGAUCGCCAUCCUCCAUCUAGGCUUGUUGAUUAUGUUACCUAUACUACAAGAUAUCCCCUUGCAGAUUUUGUCACUUCCAAAAAAUGUUCAGCCUCUCAUGCUAUUUUUCUCAGUGCCCUAGACGGUACUCAUGAUCCACAAAGCUUUCAAGAAGCAAAUGAACAUGAUAUUUGGAAAACUGCUAUGAAAAAUGAACUUCAAGCUCUCCAUGACAAUUGAACCUGGAGUGUUAUUAAGCUUCCUCAAGGAAAAAAGGCAGUGGGCAGUCGUUGGGUAUAUAAAACAAAGUUCAACUCUGAUGGAACUAUUGAGAGACAUAAAGCUCGCUUGGUGGCUCGUGGUUUUACUCAGACAUAUGAAGUGGAUUAUAAAGAGACUUUUGCUCCAGUUGCCAAGAUGAACACAGUGAGAGUAUUGUUGUCCGUUGCAGUUAAUCAAUCUUGGCCUUUAUAUCAAAUGGAUGUGAAUGCAUUUUUGCAUGGUGAGCUAGAAGAGGAAGUAUACAUGAAGUUGCCCCCAGGUCACCCUCAAUUCCAUGAUCCUGACAUGGUGUGCAAACUUCAUAAAUCUAUCUAUGGUUUAAAACAAUCUCCACGAGCAUGGUAUUCAAAACUUAGCUCAGUACUUGAAGAAGUUGGCUUUCACAGAAGCAAUGCUGAUUCCUCACUGUUUGUUCGAAUUGGUUUAGUAGGCAAAUUGGUUAUUUUGAUUUAUGUUGAUGACCUCAUAGUGACAGGUGAUAAUAUUGAGGAACUUAAUUCUCUCAAGCAUGCCCUCCGAGUUCGGUUUGCUCUCAAAGAUUUGGGAACUCUCAAGCAUUUUCUUGGCAUUGAAAUGGCCACAUCUCAAAAAGGGCUCUUUCUAAAUCAAAGGAAGUACGUUCUUGACCUUCUAAAAGAUGCUGAUAUGGUGGAUUGUAAGCCUGCUCGGACUCCCCUUGACAGUAAAUUCCAGCUCGACAUGCAAAGUAAGGCACCCACCAAUCUCACUGAUUAUCAAAAGUUAGUUGGGAAGUUGAUUUACCUCACAAUUACACGUCCUGACAUUUCCUAUGCCGUAAGCAUUGCCAGUCAGUUCAUGCAUGCACCCACUAUUGCUCAUUUAUGCGUUGUUAAAAGAAUACUUCGUUAUCUCAAAGGCUCAUUUGGUCGAGGUAUAUUGAUGAAAAGGAAUGGUAACACUACCAUCAUGGGGUACACAGACGCUGAUUGGGCUGGCAACUCUCUUGAUCGUAAGUCAACCACUGGAUUUUGCACAUUUGUGGGUGGAAACUUGGUUACAUGGAGAAGCAAAAAACAAAGCGUCAUAGCUCGAUCAAGUGCUGAGGCUGAGUAUCGAGCAAUGGCAUCCAUUACGUGUGAGCUGAUUUGGCUAAAAUGUCUUCUAUCAGAUUUAGGGUUUCCAAGCAAUCAGCCUAUGUCCUUGUUUUGUGACAACCAAGCUGCUAUGCACAUUGCUUCCAAUCCAGUUUUUCACGAGAGAACUAAACAUAUCGAGGUUGAUUGUCAUUACAUUCGAGCACAAGUUCAAUCGAAGGUUAUUAACACUCAUUACACACGUAGCCAUGAUCAGUUGGCUGAUAUUUUUACGAAAAACCUCCCUACGACUCAAUUUCAGCGUUUAUUGUUCAAGCUUGGCUCAACGGACCCCAUUGAUCCAGCUUGAGGGGGAGUAUUGGAAUAAGCAUCAAUCAUGUUCCAAGUCAUAUCUUUUGUUAAAAUGCAUGCAUGAAAUAAACAUGUUGGAUGACUAGUGAAGUUAGGCUAGUCAACAUUCUUUGUGUAAAUUAGGCAAGUUAGGCAAGUUAGGAAAUUAGGCAAGUUAGGCAAGUUAGGCUUAUGUUCUCUUUCUUUCCCUAUAUAUAUGUUUCAUCUUGUAAUUAUUUUGAUAUGAAAUAUACAUCCAAAAUUCAACAUCGUCGCUGCUAUGGAGCAGUUUAAAGGCCAGCCUCGACUUCCGAAAUUCACCGUCCCGAAACGGUACGACUUAAGGCUGAAGCCGGACCUCGCCGCCUGCAAAUUCGGCAGCUCCGUCGACAUCGACCUCGAUAUCGUUGCCGAUACCAAAUUCAUCUUUCUCAACGUCGCCGAGCUCUUCUUCAAUGCGGGCUCCGUCUUUUUCGCUCACGGCUGCUCGUCCAAGGUAAUCGAUGUUCAUUUGCUUUUCAAAUUUGUAGAACUGACUGAAAAAAGAAGUAGAAAGGAGAGUGAGGUGUUUGGCUGAUGAAAAUUUUCAUUCUUUUUAUGUUGAUAUGUUAAUUAAUACUCGAUUAGUAAGUCUAAGUUCAAUUAAUCAAUCGUUGAUUAGUUUUAAUUUUGGUUUGAUUACUGCUCUGUUCAUGAUUUGUGGGCAAGUGAAUGGAUUGGAAUUGAUAAGAUGAUUGUAGCGUUGUCAACUUUACUGCCUUGUUUGGCUGCACGGAUAACGUAGGAAAUGGAAAGAUUAUUUGGAAUUCAUUUAGUGCGUUGUUUGGCUACCUGUGUCUUUACUGAAUGAGUAAAUGAAUAUUUGAGCAGGUUUUCAAGCCUACGAAGGCCGAGACGUUCUUCGGUUGAUGUGGGGCGUGCCAACUUGUCGGCCGAGCUCGGUCGAGGAGUAAAAUGUGUUGAUGUUGCUUUGAGCGUUCGGCCGACUUCUUGAUCUUGCGACUGUGGUCGAGGAAGGAACACGUCUCGGCCUUUGGGUUUUGGGUUUUAGAGCCUGAAGACAAGGCUGUUAAUUUUGCGAAGUUCACAAAUCGUCGGCGCCAAAUUCGGUCACAGUGAUUAUAUUUGUAAGAAUAUAAGCACGCCAAAUCGACACCAGAGUAUAGGGGCACGGAUACUCAAAACAGAUAUAUGUCUUGAUGGUAAAUGUGGUUCGGCUGUCAGAAUGCCGAACUCUAAAGCUGACUUGUGAGUAUCCAAUCAUAAAACACCUCGGCGUUCAAUGUGCCGAGCCCUAGUAAACUUUAACACCUCACCUCGCCUAAAAGGCUAAUGAGAUGACCUCUGCCAAUAUAGACCCGAAAGUCUUUCUCAACCGAGACUUGGAUAGAUAACUAGUUGGCCUCGACGCAUUGCUGUUUAUCCAAACUAAAGGUGUUCCGCGGUCGGCUGGUUCUACGACGAUAUUGUUGUCCAAACUAAAGGUAUCACCGGUUGCCUUCACAAUGUUGUUUAUCUAAACUGAAGAUGUGUUGGCGAAAAAAGAAAAUAAAAAUCUCAAGGUUGCUGAGAGAGUUUGUGCAGAGCAAUUUGUAUGUUGAAUUAGAGAGAGUCUUUUCGUUAUCUGCAACUUUGUAUUUAUAGCCAAGCCUACAUGAUCACCUAUCCAAUAUUUUCCCGAAUAUACUCCAAAAAAUAAUAUCAAAACAACCGAUAUUAUCUUUAAUAUAUUAUGCCAAAAAGCUUGCCAGCCUCCUUUCGUUGUGUCCAUACUUUCACAAAGAGAAUUUGAAAAUUCAAAGCACCCUUAUCAUUUCAAACCCAUUUGUCACAUCCAUCACCAAGCAAAACAAAAAGCCUAGUCUACCUAGGUUUCCUAUGCUAACAUUAUCCAUGACUAUUAUUUUCUUUAGAUGAUAUUAAAUCCCUCGUGAUGAUCUCCUAUCAAUCAACACGUCUACAGCCAGGAGACUCAAGUUAAUCCGAACUCUGUUGUUACUGCUUCUCAUUAAAGAUAAUGAGAAUCCCACUUAUUUUGUACAAGAAAACCGAGAUAAAAAUAAUUAUUAUGAUAAUAUUAUCUCUUAACAAUAACAAAAUAUCUUAACUUCCUUAUCCGGCGGUCAAGAACCAUGCUCACUCAACGAUCUCAAUCGCUUAGACCGAUAAUGUAAAAUCGGGUCCAAACAAUAUUAAAUAAAUAGAAGAUUGCUGAGUUGACAAUUCAUCAAAGCAUUUUAAUUAAAUUUAAAAAAAAGAUCAUAUGUUUAGGAUAAAUAAGUUGGAAAAAAUGUAGAAAAUUAUCUACACAUUUAUUUUUACUUCCUACAUAUUCUUUUAAUUUUCGGCCAUCUGAUGAUUUGAAAAUGAUGAAAUAACAAAAAUUAACAAAGUGUUAAAAGUUAAAAAAAAGAAAAAGAAAAAAAAAAAGUGUGUGAUAGCGCACCCCAUCCAUAAAUAGUCGUUGUAUAAAAUUUUCUCAGGAAAGACCCGUACGUUGCAAGUUGUAAAAUGGCGACAACUGAUGAGUCCCACUCGCACACUUCCGAAAUCUGAACUCGAUAAACUCUCGCGCAGCUCGCAAGUAUCACACUCGUCGUCGCUGCUAUGGAGCAGUUUAAAGGCCAGCCCCGGCUUCCGAAAUUCGCCGUCCCGAAACGCUACGACGUAAGGCUGAAGCCGGACCUCGUCGCCUGCAAAUUCGGCGGCUCCGUCGACAUCGACCUCGAUAUCGUCGCCGAUACCAAAUUCAUCGUUCUCAACGCCGCCGAGCUCUCCAUUAAUGCGGGCGCCGUCUCUUUCGCUCACGGCGGGUCGUCCAAGGUAAUCGAUGAGCGUUUGCUUUUCAAAUUUGUAGAACAGACUGAAAAAAGAAGUAGAAUGGAGAGUGAGGUGUUUGGCUGAUGAAAAUUUUCAUUCUUUUUAUGUUGAUUUGUUAAUUAAUACUCGAUUAAUAAGUCUAAGUUCAAUUAAUCAAUCGUUGAUUAGUUUUAAUUUUGGUUUAAUUACUGCUCUGUUCAUGAUUUGUGGGCAAGUGAAUGGAUUGGAAUUGAUAAGAUGAUUGUAACGUUGUCAACUUUACUGCCUUGUUUGGCUGCACGGAUAACGUAGGAAAUGGAAAGAUUAUUUGGAAUUCAUUUAGUGCGUUGUUUGGCUACUUGUGUCUUUACUGAAUGAGUAAAUGUUUGAGCAGGUUUUCAAGCCUUCGAAGGCCGAGACGUUCGAAGACGAUGGAAUUUUGGUUUUGGAGUUUGGAGAGAUGCUUCCGAUUGGGUCUGGAGUUUUGGUUAUUGAAUUUGAAGGAAUUUUGAAUGACAAGAUGAAGGGUUUCUACAGAAGGUAGUUUUUGAAAGCAGGAACUUUUGCGCAGUCUAUCUUCGAUUGUUCGUUCAGUAUUAUCAUGUGCCAAUGGUAUAGAUAGGUCUAAGAUUUGAUUUGUUUCGUGCAGUACAUAUGAGCACAACGGUGAGAAGAAAAAUAUGGCAGUUACGCAGUUUGAACCCGUUGAUGCCAGGCGGUGCUUUCCGUGUUGGGAUGAACCUGCUUGCAAGGUUACUCUCUCUCUCACACACACAGUUGACUUAAGAUAUUGAUUUUCAUCGAAGGAGGAGGGGGGAGCUUGUCAGGUAGUCGACAGCCGGCACUUCUAUCUUACGUCGAAUCGUUGGGAUGCGAUCAUACCAACUCACAUGUACAGGAUCCCAUCUAAACUCCAAAGUUAAGCGAGUUUGAGUGAGAAUAUUACUAGGAUGGGUGACCUGCUGGGAAGUCCUCGUGUUGCAUCCCCCACAACCGACCCCACCUAGUGGGAAAAGGCUUAGAAGAAGAAGAAGAUCAAGUGAUUUUGUUUACACCAUUCUCGAUAUACAUUGUUAUAAAUGCAUUUUUGAGACUAGGAAAAAAGAGAUCUGUUGUUUAAGGUGGUAGUAAAGAUGAGAAAUCAAUCUUCCCGUUCUUGUUAAAUUGUUCAAAUAUAGAGUUUAUGACUUGCUGGCUAUUUGGUUGGCAGGCUACAUUCAAGAUAACACUUGAUGGUGUUCCGGCUGAACUAGUAGCCCUUUCUAACAUGCCGAUUCAAGAAGAAAAAUUGAAUGGACAUCUGAAGACAGUUUCAUAUGUGGAAACACCAAUUAUGUCUACAUAUUUGGUGGCCAUUGUUGUUGGAUUGUUUGAUUACGUUGAAGAUCAUACUUCUGAUGGUAAACUCCUACACAACAUCCUUAGUUUCAUGUGUAUGUCAGUGCAACCUUUUUCUUGUUGAUGUCACAUUUGAUGUCGUUACAGGGGUCAAAGUGCGGGUAUAUUGUCAAGUUGGUAAGGCAGACCAGGGGAAGUUUGCUUUGCACUUUGCUGUCAAGACACUUGAAUGGUGCACAGAGUAUGUGUAAAAGUUACUAAUUAUUCAUAUUCAAGUUGACAAUUGCACUUGAUGCAUGUUAUGGAUGGACUAAUGUAGCAGUUUCUCUAGAUUUUUUUUCCUUUUCAUUAUAGAGAUAAAAAAAGCAUUUGCCAUGGUCUUUAUAGAUUUGGAAAAAGCGUAAGACAUGGUCCGUCCCAAAAAAAAAUUAUUUGGAGAAUUCUAGAGAAGAAAAAGUAGAGUAGCAUAUAUCUAAGCAAUAAAGGAUAUGUAUGAUAGAGAAUGACAAAAUGAAAGCUUUCCCAUAACCAUAGGGUUACACCAAGGCUCAGCUUUAAGUCCUUAUCUUUUUGCGUUGAUAAUGGACGAGCUUACGGGACAUAUUCAAGAUGAUAUCACUUGGUGUAUGCUUUUCGAAGAUAAUAUAGUACUGAUAGAUGAAAUGCAUGAGGGAGUGAAUGCAAAGCUUAACCUUUGGUGUGAAGUGUUGAAAUCUAAAAGUCUUCGUCUAAUGUCAAAGAUAGAGUAUAGGGAUUGCAAGUUCAGUGAAAAUGGGGGUCCAGAUGAGAUAGGGUGAGGAUUGAAAAUCAGGAAGUACCAAAGUGAACACUUUUGUAUCUUGGAUCUAUCUUGCAAAAUAAUGGAGAAUUAAAUGGAGAUCUCAACUAUAGAAUACAAGUUGGAUAGAUGAAGUGGAAGAGUGUAGUGUGUGUGUUGUGCGAUCGUCGUAUGCCACUAAAGCUGAAGAGAAAAUGUUAUAGGACGGCAAUAUGGUCAACAAUGCUUUAUGGCACGGAGUGUUGGGCUGUCAAAAAGCAACACGUGCAGAAAAUGAGUAGUGAAGAUGAGAAUGCUUCAUUAAAUAUGUGGGCACACAAGGAAUGAUAUGAGAAAGAACAAAUAUAUCUGAGGUAAAGUAGCAAUGGCCGCAAUUGAAGAUAAGAUGAGAGAAAAUCAAUGUAUGAAAAGGCAGAGGCGUUCCAUGGAUAGCCCUGCCUAGGCAUGAGGCGUGAGGCUUUGCCUCACGGGACCUAAAUAACUUAAUAUAUAUUGCAUAUAUAAUUAUAUAUAGUAUAAUACUUUGGAAUAAAGCCAAGUUUAGCUAUUAUAGGCAAUUCAAAAGGAAAUAAAGGCUAAGUGGAGCUAUUAUUGGGAAUUAAAAUGAAAUAAAGAUUCAGUGGAGCAAUUAUUAUAGGGAAUUUAAAGGAAAUAAUGGCCGAGUGAGUAGUUAUAGGAAAUUUCAAGAGAAAUAAAUCUUGGCUAAUCAAAAUGCUAGGUGGCAGAAUCUAAAUGGGCUAUUAAUAAAAAACAAAAACAUAAAAAAGAGUUAGAGUUAGACUUUGCCACUAGGAUUUGGAGAGAGAAACUUUCUUUCUUCUUUCUUGAAACUAGAACGACACACAGAGGAACGGUAGAAAUAGACCUGGAAUUGGAAGGAAAAAAACGCCCAAUUGAACGCCUGGGCGUGCCUCAGCCGCCUAGGCCCUCCAACACUGCCUUACGCCUACCCUCACAAAACAAAGGCGAAAACCCAGCAGCCCCGCCUCCAAGGGCGCCUAGGUGUGCCCCAAGGCUAGUUUUAUAGAACACUGGAAAAUCGUUUAAAGUGGUUUGGACAUGUGAACCGAAGAUAAAAGAAACUUUAAGAAACUUUAAGAAAAGAUAUGUUGUACUUGUAGCUAACGGAAGAUGACUAUAAGACGGAGCAUCAAGGCAAAAAGGGUGGAGGAAGACCUAGGAAGACUUGGAAAGACACUUUAAAAAAAGAUAUGUUGUACUUGGAGCUAACGGAAGACUUGUCGCAAAACCGAGCGCAGUGGCAUUCUAGGAUUCAUACAGCCGAUCCCACUUAGUGGGAUAAGGAUAUGACUUGGUUGUUGUUGUUGUACUUAUGCUGCAUUACAUUCCAUUUAAUAUGAAAUCAUUGAUGUUAAGUUCUGCAGAUACUUUGCUGUGCCAUACCCGUUGCCCAAAUUGGAUAUGGUUGCAAUACCUGAUUUUUCUUUCGCCGGCAUGGAGAAUUAUGGUUUAGUUACAUACCGAGAAAUGGCUUUGCUUUUUGAUGAACAACAUUCUGCAGCUGCCAACAAGCAAAGGGUAAAAUGCGCAUCCUGAAUGUCACUGCUUUCAGAAUUAUCUUGGUUAAUAUGGUAGGGAGGUAUAGUUUUAGCACUCAAUGAUACGUUUAAUCACUUUAUUUGGUUUUUGGUAAUAGGUUACGAUUACCGUGGCACAUGAAUUGGCACACCAGUGGUUUGGCAAUCUUGUAACAAAGGAAUGGUGGACGCAUUUAUGGCUGAAUGAGGGAUUUGCAACAUGGGUAUCACUUCAUAUCAUUGUUAUACUUGUUAGUUUCCAUGCUUUUGUACUUAUAAAUAAGUAGUUUAAUGUCAUUAGGUGAGCUAUUUAGCUACUGAUAGCUUAUUCCCAGAGUGGAAAAUAUGGACUCAGUUUCUUAAUGAAGUCACUGCUGGUCUUAAGCUGGAUGGGCUUGAAGAAUCUCACCCCAUUGAGGUACUUAUUCGUGCACUUGGUCUUUCUUGGGUUUCAUUUUAAUUUUAAUUUCCUAAAGUUUGCUGUUUCCUGGCAUCGAAUCUGGAUCAUCUGCACAGAAGGCUUUAAAUAGUAAUAUUCACCACUAUAGUUUUCAAGGCGUUAUUAUUGGAGAGUAUUAGUGUAUAUAAGUCUCUCUGGUUUAUUAUGGUUUAAUCUGUUCUUUUUGGCCAGGUGGAGAUCAAUCAUGCUGCUGAGAUUGAUGAAAUACUUGAUGCGAUAAGUUAUAAAAAAGGUGCUACUGUUAUUCGGAUGCUACAAAGCUAUCUAGGUGCUGAAGUCUUCCAGGUAUGUCCUUUGAUUUGUCAACUAGUGUGCUUGAAGGUUGAAGGAACUAUCUUAUUUUCUAUGAUAUAAAAAAGUUAGAGAGUUAAUUGCAUGCUACUUUUUAAUGCAUCCAGAGGUCAAUUGCUUCAUAUAUCAAAAAGCAUGCUUACUCAAAUGCAAAGACAGAAGAUUUGUGGGCUGCCCUUGAGGAGGGAUCCGGUGAACCUGUAAACAAACUAAUGAAUUCAUGGACACAGCAGAAGGGUUACCCGGUCAUUUCUGUCAAAGUCAAAGAUCAAAAGUUGGAGUUUAAUCAGGUUUCCUUAUGUUUGCUUCUUUCAAAGUUGUUUGGUUAUCAAAUGAAAUUCUGAAAAAUCCUCUCAAGCUCUAAUGCACAUAAAAGCUGUUAAGUCAUUUGUUUAGGUUUUAUUCCACGGUACAAGGAAACGAACAAAGAUCUAAUAGGAAUAAGUAAAUUAAUGUAUGGCAGACACAAUUCUACUCAAGCGGUUCCCAAGGCGAUGGGCAAUGGAUUGUGCCGAUUACAUUAUCCUGUGGCUCGUAUGAUGUGCGCAAGAAUUUCCUACUACAAGCGAAGUCUGAAACUCUUGACAUAAAGGAAUUUCUGGGUUGCUCAGUAGGAAAGGCUGGAUGUGGAGGCACAAGCAACAAAGACAAUGCUUUAUGCAGUUGGAUAAAAGUCAAUGUGGAUCAGACUGGUUUUUACAGAGUGAAAUAUGAGGAUGAACUUGCAGCUGCGCUUAGAAACGCUAUCGAAGAGAAGCAAUUGUCUGAAACUGACAGAUUUGGUAAUCAUCAUUUCGUACGCAUGCUUGUUUAUCUCUUUGAUAGUGAAAGUUUUCACCAAUUUUUUUUCCUUUCACAGGCAUUUUGGAUGAUUCCUUUGCCCUAUCAAUGGCUCGCAAGCAGUCUUUUGCUUCAUUGCUUACCUUGUUGAGUGCAUACAGAGAGGAACUUGAGUAUAUCGUGCUGUCAAAUUUGAUUGCUGUAAUGAUCGCCCCUGCAUUGUGUUUAUGUUACUGCAUUGAUAACCUUGGUCUGAUUCUGGUCCUCAUGUUUCACAGAUAAGUUAUAAUCUGGCAAGAAUUGCAGCCGAUGCUGUACCCGGACUACUGGAUCACAUUAAACAAUUCUUUAUUGGACUUUUCCAGUAUUCUGCAGAGUAAGCUUGUUCUUUUCUUAACAACUCAAAUGCCUACGUAGAUAAACUAUCAGGACACAAGAUUUGCUUCUAUCUUUUUCUUUAAUUUUGUUCAAAGUUUAUCAUUUAUGAUAGAAUUUCUUUACAGGAGGCUUGGUUGGCAGCCUAAACCGGGCGAAAGCCAUUUAGAUGCAAUGUUGAGAGGAGAAAUUUUGACUGCACUUGCUGUUUUUGGUCAUGAACUGACGUUAGAUGAAGCAAGUAGGCGUUUUCAUGCCUUUAUAGAAGACAGAAACACGCCCCUCCUUCCCCCAGACAUUAGAAAGGUUGCUUUGACGUAAAUCAUUAAUUACACAUACGUAAUUAAACUUUUAAGUUCAUCGUUGAUGUUAAUUAUGGACUAUUGUUGCAGGCAGCAUAUGUGGCUGUAAUGCAAAGAACAAGUGUAUCUGACCGAUCAGGCUAUGAAUCUCUUGUUAGAGUCUACAGAGAGAGUGAUCUAAGCCAGGAGAAAACCCGCAUUCUAGGUAAAUAUAAGUAAUUAGUAAAAUAAUGCUGAACAUAUGAAGCUGUUAGAUUGUAGCAGUAAUCGAUGUGUCUGUGCCUGUAGGUUCUUUAGCGUCUUGUCCCGAUCCCAAUAUUACACUGGAAGUUCUCCACUUUAUAUUGACUCCUGAGGUAUUUCAGAUUUUCUUUCUCUGAAUUGUAGGUUGAAGUUUUACUUAUUAGUAAUAAUUUUGAGAAUCUCAAAGCUUGAUAUACUGAUUUUAAUGCCCGUCUAUGUAGGUUCGCAGUCAGGAUGCUGUAUUUGGACUCGCUGUUAGUAAUGAAGGUCGGGAAACAGCAUGGAAGUGGAUGAAGGUAACUCUCACUAGUUUACGACAUUUUACAAAAUGUUUCCACGUUCAUGGAUUUUUUCUUUCUUUUUCCACAUUUGCUGCUGUGAUUCAUUUUUCCAUUUGGAUUAUCCGAAACCAGGAUAACUGGGAGCACAUCUCAAAGACCUGGGGGUCUGGAUUACUAAUUCCUCGCUUUGUCAAUGAAAUUGUUUCACCGGUUCGUUCUUUCUUUCUCUAGAAACUUUCGUUCUUAUGCUCGAGGUCUGUUGUUGUGCAACUUAGAUUUCUAAUACCUUGUUAUUUCCUUCUACCUUCCUCUGCAGUUUGCUUCAUUUGACAAGGUUAAGGAAGUAGAUGAGUUCUUCAAAGCACAUCCAAACCCGAAGAUAACUAGAACAGUGAAGCAGAGCAUUGAGCGGGUGCAAAUCAACGCCAAAUGGGUUCAGAGUGUUCAGAGCGAGAGAAACCUUGCCGAUGUCGCGACGGAGUUGGCAUACCGGAAAUACUAGGAUGCCAUGUUUGGCUGCGUCUGUUUUUUAACAAGAUUAUGGGCUGGUUUGGUAUCGUUUAUUUAAAAAAAAAAAAAACUGUUUCUGCUGUACUGUGAUAAUAAGUU
rnacentral:lncRNA from 1 species